GCCGUCGUGGACCAUGGCGGCCAUCCUCUACCUAUGGCGUUACAUUGGCAUACUGUGGGAAAGUCGGAGGUUCGAUUCCUCCCGACGGCA